rnacentral:rRNA from 1 species
CACAUCCUGGGGCUGAAGUAGGUCCCAAGGGUAUGGCUGUUCGCCAUUUAAAGUGGUACGCGAGCUGGGUUUAGAACGUCGUGAGACAGUUCGGUCCCUAUCUGCCGUGGGCGCUGGAGAAUUGAGGGGGGCUGCUCCUAGUACGAGAGGACCGGAGUGGACGCAUCACUGGUGUUCGGGUUGUCAUGCCAAUGGCACUGCCCGGUAGCUAAAUGCGGAAGAGAUAAGUGCUGAAAGCAUCUAAGCACGAAACUUGCCCCGAGAUGAGUUCUCCCUGACUCCUUGAGAGUCCUGAAGGAACGUUGAAGACGACGACGUUGAUAGGCCGGGUGUGUAAGCGCAGCGAUGCGUUGAGCUAACCGGUACUAAUGAACCGUGAGGCUUAACCUUACAACGCCGAAG